rnacentral:rRNA from 1 species
GGGCAACCUACCUGUAAGACUGGGAUAACCCCGGGAAACCGGGGCUAAUACCGGAUGAUACAUAUCGUCGCAUGACGAGAUGUUGAAAGGCGGCAUAUGCUGUCACUUACAGAUGGGCCCGCGGCGCAUUAGCUAGUUGGUGAGAUAAAAGCUCACCAAGGCGACGAUGCGUAGCCGACCUGAGAGGGUGAUCGGCCACACUGGGACUGAGACACGGCCCAGACUCCUACGGGAGGCAGCCGUAGGGAAUCUUCCGCAAUGGACGAAAGUCUGACGGAGCAACGCCGCGUGAGUGAUGAAAGUUUUCGGAUCGUAAAGCUCUGUUGUCAGCAAAGAACAGGAAGAAGAGGGAAUGCUUUUUCUCUGACGGUAGCUGACCAGAAAGCCACGGCUAACUACGUGC